rnacentral:miRNA from 1 species
UGUGUAGCCUCCACAUAUGGUGGGCUUACCUGCCUGUACACACAAACUUGCAUGAACCUGCAUAUACACACAUGCACAUGAACACACACACUGAUCUCAGAACUUUCUGUCCUU